rnacentral:rRNA from 1 species
GAGUUUGAUUAUGGCUCAGAACGAACGCUGGCGGCGCGUCUUAAGCAUGCAAGUCGAACGGUAAGGGAGAGCUUGCUCUCCCCUAGAGUGGCGGACUGGUGAGUAACGCGUGGGUGACCUGCCCUGAAGAUGGGGAUAGCUAGUAGAAAUAUUAGAUAAUACCGAAUGUGCUCAUUUACAUAAAGGUAAAUGAGGAAAGGAGCUACGGCUCCGCUUCAGGAUGGGCCCGCGUCCCAUUAGCUGGUUGGUGAGGUAAAGGCCCACCAAGGCAACGAUGGGUAUCCGGCCUGAGAGGGUGAACGGACGCAUUGGGACUGAGAUACGGCCCAAACUCCUACGGGAGGCAGCAGCUAAGAAUCUUCCGCAAUGGACGAAAGUCUGACGGAGCGACGCCGUGUGAAUGAAGAAGGCCGAAAGGUUGUAAAAUUCUUUUGCAGAUGAAGAAUAAACACAGGAGGGAAUGCCCUGUGAGAUGA